UACGAGAGGCCCAAACGUUAUUCGGCUUUACUGGGCUUAAAGAGUUCGUAGGCGGCGCAGAAAGUGGGGUGUGAAAGCCCUCGGCUCAACCGAGGAAUUGCGCUCCAAACUACUGUGCUCGAGGAAGCUAGAGGUGAGCGGAACUGAUGGUGGAGCGGUGAAAUGCGUUGAUAUCAUCAGGAACACCGGAGGCGAAGGCGGCUCACUGGGGCUUUUCUGACGCUGAGGAACGAAAGCCAGGGGAGCGAACGGG
rnacentral:rRNA from 1 species